rnacentral:rRNA from 1 species
CAGCCGCCGCGGGAAUACGUAGGGUGCGAGCGUUAAUCGGAAUUACUGGGCGUAAAGCGGGCGCAGACGGUUACUUAAGCAGGAUGUGAAAUCCCCGGGCUCAACCUGGGAACUGCGUUCUGAACUGGGUGACUAGAGUGUGUCAGAGGGAGGUAGAAUUCCACGUGUAGCAGUGAAAUGCGUAGAGAUGUGGAGGAAUACCGAUGGCGAAGGCAGCCUCCUGGGAUAACACUGACGUUCAUGCCCGAAAGCGUGGGUAGCAAACAGGAUUAGAGACCCGAGUAGUCCCUGUCUCUUAUAC